rnacentral:tRNA from 1 species
GCCUGAGUAGCUCAGUGGCCAGAGCAACCGCCUUGUAAGCGGUGGGGCGAGGGUUCGAGUCCCUCCUCACGCU